AUUGAACGCUGGCGGCAGGCUUAACACAUGCAAGUCGAGCGGGGAAAAGUAGCUUGCUACUUAACCUAGCGGCGGACGGGUGAGUAAUGCUUAGGAAUCUGCCUAUUAGUGGGGGACAACAUCUCGAAAGGGAUGCUAAUACCGCAUACGUCCUACGGGAGAAAGCAGGGGACCUUCGGGCCUUGCGCUAAUAGAUGAGCCUAAGUCGGAUUAGCUAGUUGGUGGGGUAAAGGCCUACCAAGGCGACGAUCUGUAGCGGGUCUGAGAGGAUGAUCCGCCACACUGGGACUGAGACACGGCCCAGACUCCUACGGGAGGCAGCAGUGGGGAAUAUUGGACAAUGGGGGGAACCCUGAUCCAGCCAUGCCGCGUGUGUGAAGAAGGCCUUUUGGUUGUAAAGCACUUUAAGCGAGGAGGAGGCUACCGAGAUUAAUACUCUUGGAUAGUGGACGUUACUCGCAGAAUAAGCACCGGCUAACUCUGUGCCAGCAGCCGCCGUAACAC
rnacentral:rRNA from 1 species